rnacentral:rRNA from 1 species
GAAGCCUACGGGGGGCAGCAGUGGGGGAUAUUGCACAAUGGGGGAAACCCUGAUGCAGCGACGCCGCGUGGGUGAAGAAGCGCCUCGGCGCGUAAAGCCCUGUCAGCGGGGAAGAAAAUGACGGUACCUGAAGAAGAAGCCCCGGCUAACUACGUGCCAGCAGCCGCGGUAAUACAUAGGGGGCAAGCGUUAUCCGGAUUUACUGGGUGUAAAGGGGGCGCAGACGGCGAUGCAAGCCAGGAGUGAAAGCCCGGGGCCCAACUCCGGGACUGCUCUUGGACCUGCGUGGCUAGAGUGCAGGAGGG